UACGUAGGUGGCGAGCGUUGUCCGGAUUUACUGGGCGUAAGGGGCUUGUAGGCGGUCCGUUAAGUCCGAUGUGAAAUCUCCCGGCUCAACUGGGAGAGGUCAUUGGAUACUGGCGGACUAGAGGGGGGUAGAGGAAAGCAGAAUUCCUGGUGUAGCGGUGAAAUGCGUAGAUAUCAGGAGGAAUACCAGUGGCGAAGGCGGCUUUCUGGGCCUACCCUGACGCUGAGGAGCGAAAGCGCGGGGAGCAAACCGG
rnacentral:rRNA from 1 species